rnacentral:rRNA from 1 species
AGAGUUUGAUCAUGGCUCAGAACGAACGCUGGCGGCGUGCUUAAUACAUGCAAGUCGAACGGAGAUAUUGUAGCAAUACGGUAUUUUAGUGGCGAACGGGUGAGUAACGCGUUGGUGACCUGCCCCGAAGAGGGGGAUAACAGUCCGAAAGGAUUGCUAAUACCCCAUGUGGUUAUUUGGAUUAGAUGCCUGAUAACAAAAGGAGAAAUUCACUUCGGGAGGGACCUGCGUCCCAUCAGCUAGUUGGUGAGGUAACGGCCCACCAAGGCUACGACGGGUAGGGGACCUGAGAGGGUGGCCCCCCACAAUGGAACUGAAACACGGUCCAUACACCUACGGGUGGCAGCAGUAGGGAAUAUUAGUUAAUGUGCGAAAGCGCGAACUAGCAACGCCGCGUGCACGAUGAAGGCCUUCGGGUCGUAAAGUGCUUUUUGAGGGGAUGAGAAAGGACAGUACCCUCAGAAUAAGUCUCGGCUAACUACGUGCCAGCAGCCGCGGUAAUACA